UUGCCAUCCUCUUCUAAUUUCUGUUCUCUGUCCAUCAAUAAAACAUGAGCCAUUUAUCUGAAAAAAGAAAGAAGUGUUGCACAAUUGUAUCUAAACUGUCGUGUGGGAAUACUUAUCUGCAGUAGCUCACCUCCCAGAAUGGUCCUUUGCCUCCUUUCUCAUUCAUCUCACAAGCCUUAUGAGCGCGGGAGAUCCCUUCCAUCUACUCCGUGCAGCUGUAGAUAUAGCAAGCUUUCAGAAGCCUCUGAAAAAUUCUCCAUACAGAAGAUGUUGACAAGGAUCUGCACUGCAUAGAGUAUGUGUAAACAGUGAUGCAAACAGCUGUUGUUACUAGAUAUGGUGAAUUCACAUAAAGAAGCUGGACAUUUGCAAUUUUUUCUAUUCAUAGAGAUUUUCAAUCUGGGAAACAUGUAGGACUGUGGAAUUGUGGCUGACACUUCUCUUGGAUUCACUUCGACAUAUCACAAGAUACAAAGCAGCUAUUUGUGACAUCUGUUGGUGAGGGCAGAGCUGAUUAACUGCAAGGCUGGCUACACUGAUGGCAUCAGUCAACAGGCUGUUUUUAAAUGCAGUUGAUGUUUCUCCUCUCUUCCCACCAUCUCAUUUUCAAGAGGAAGGAAGUGUUUUUGGAGGAGCUGAUAUAUUCAAAUCCAGCAGUGAGAUUUCAUUCUGAACGUGGUCUUUUUUCUUGAUGUUCUUUUAUUGUUAAUCUUAAAAUUUUAAUGAGAAGAAAUUUUUUGUUACAGUGAUUACAAAUUAAGUGGGACAAGAUGUACGUCUAUGCCAAUCUCACACAGAGUUGUGUUCUGCAGCUUGAUGAGCUUAUGAGGCUGUGUUUAAUGGGCUCUGCUUUCAAUUCACAUGUUCAAGGCGCAGCUUCUAAAUACUAAUCAAGCAUCUCUGAUGGCCCACAGCAAAAAAAAAAAAAUUAAAAAGAAAUAAGAAUGGGGAAGGGUGCUGAGGUUGGAAGGAGGGAACAGAGGGCAGGAAGCUGCAGGUAUUAAGCAUCAGCUAAACAAUUCCUAUUGACUCUGGGCUUCAGUGCACUAAUAAGAAGGACUGCACGCACUUGUGUCUUUUAACACACGGCAAGACACAAACACAGCUGGAGGACUCAAAGAAGUUGAGAUUUUUGUAAGAUUUCUUCAUUGUUAAACUAUCCUACAAAUGUCUGAGAUAUGACCAGGGGGACUGUAAGAGUCUGUGCACCAGUUCAGGACUGUUGCAAUCAAUUUACUUUGCUGUGAUCUAGAGCAGUUUGCUGUUGUAAAAAUAAAUAAG